rnacentral:rRNA from 1 species
UACGUAGGGGGCAAGCGUUGUUCGGAUUUACUGGGCGUAAAGAGCGUGUAGGCGGCCAAGCAGGUCCGUUGUGAAAACUGGAGGCUUAACCUCCAGACGUCGACGGAAACCGCGUGGCUAGAGUCCGGAAGAGGAGAGUGGAAUUCCUGGUGUAGCGGUGAAAUGCGCAGAUAUCAGGAAGAACACCAAUGGCGAAGGCAGCUCUCUGGGACGGUACUGACGCUGAGACGCGAAAGCGUGGGGAGCGAACAGG